rnacentral:rRNA from 1 species
UACGGAGGGUGCAAGCGUUAUCCGGAAUCACUGGGCGUAAAGGGCGCGUAGGUGGUCUGUUAAGUCUGGCGUUAAAGCCUGGGGCUCAACCCCAGAUCAGCGUUGGAUACUGGCAGGCUAGACGGUUGGAGAGGCGAGUGGAAUUACCAGUGUAGCGGUGGAAUGCGUAGAUACUGGUAGGAACACCCAUUGCGAAGGCAGCUCGCUGGACAACACGUGACACUGAGGUGCGAAAGUGUGGGGAGCAAACCGGAUUAGAUACCCCCGUAGU